rnacentral:tRNA from 1 species
GGGCGCGUAGCUCAGUGGGAGAGCGCUUGACUCACAUUCAAGAGGUCGGAGGUUCAAUCCCUCCCGCGCCCACCA